GAGCCAGAAGCAUUCACCCGCAAUGAGUGGGUAUAAACCACUGGCGAAUGCUGCCAUCAACGCUAGCAGUGAGAUCUGCAACGUCAGUCUGGCUUCGGGAAGAUACCGGUUCUUAUAUAUUUUACUGCCCAAGUCGACCUGAAGGAGGAGGAGGAGAACCAGGAAGGAUGUUGACAUAGCCAAGGUGUCAAAUAUCAGAAACACUUUGAAAGCAGUUCUUUUCAGUAAUAUCGGCAUGCCUGGAUCAUUGCUCUCAUCGCUUUUGUAGCCUCCUGGCAAAGUAAAUGCUGCAGCGAAUGCGACGGUGGCAACUAGCACGGCCAUAACGGAC
rnacentral:lncRNA from 1 species